rnacentral:rRNA from 1 species
CCUACGGGUGGCUGCAGUGGGGAAUAUUGCACAAUGGGCGCAAGCCUGAUGCAGCCAUGCCGCGUGUGUGAAGAAGGCCUUCGGGUUGUAAAGCACUUUCAGCGGGGAGGAAGGCGUUAAGGUUAAUAACCUUGUCGAUUGACGUUACCCGCAGAAGAAGCACCGGCUAACUCCGUGCCAGUAGCCGCGGUAAUACGGAGGGUGCAAGCGUUAAUCGGAAUUACUGGGCGUAAAGCGCACGCAGGCGGUCUGUCAAGUCGGAUGUGAAAUCCCCGGGCUCAACCUGGGAACUGCAUUCGAAACUGGCAGGCUAGAGUCUUGUAGAGGGGGGUAGAAUUCCAGGUGUAGCGGUGAAAUGCGUAGAGAUCUGGAGGAAUACCGGUGGCGAAGGCGGCCCCCUGGACAAAGACUGACGCUCAGGUGCGAAAGCGUGGGGAGCAAACAGGAUUAGAUACCCCAGUAGUC